rnacentral:rRNA from 1 species
CCCUUAGAUGUUCGGGGCCGCACGCGCGCUACACUGAAGGUAGCAGAGGGUGUGAUCGCUCCCGCCCCGAAGCGGGGCGGGUAAACCGUUGAACUACCUUCGUGGCUUGGGACCGGGGCUUGGAACUGUUGCCCGCGAACGAGGAAUUCCCAGUAAGCGCGAGUCAUAAGCUGGCGUUGAUUACGUCCCUGCCCUUUGUACACACCGCCCGUCGCACCUACCGAUUGAAUGGUCCGGUGAACCCUCCGGAUCGGCCCGCGCCAACGCAAGUUGAGCAAAGGCCGAGAAGUUGGGUAAACCUUACCAUUUAGAGGAAGGUGAAGUCGUAACA